rnacentral:rRNA from 1 species
GACGAACGCUGGCGGCGUGCUUAACACAUGCAAGUCGAGCGGAGUGGCGAACGGGUGAGUAACGCGUGAGUAACUGCCCCCCUUCCUGGGAUCACAGUUGGAAACGGCUGCUAAUACCGGAUAGUGGUGGAUGACUCGCGUCCUAUCAGCUUGUUGUUGGGGUAGGGGCCUACCAAGGCGACGACAGGUAGCCGGCUUGAGAGGGCGACCGGCCGCCUUGGACUGGGAUCAGGCCCAAACUCCAACGGAAGGCAGCAGUCAGGAUUAUUGCACAAUUGGGGAAACACUGAUGCAGCAACGCCGCGGGCGGGAGGGCGGCCUUCGGGUUGUAAACAGCUAGAAGCCAUGACGCGUUGGUGGCAGAGGAAGCACCGGCUAACUCCGUGCCAGCGGCCGCGGUAAUUC